GCCGGGUGUGGUGGCUCACACUUGUAAUCCUGGCACUUUUGGAGGCUGAGUUGGGGGGAUUACUUGAGCUCAGGAGUUCAAGACCAGCCUGGGCAACAUAGUGAGACCCCAUCUCUA
rnacentral:sRNA from 1 species